UACGUAGGGUGCGAGCGUUAAUCGGAAUUACUGGGCGUAAAGUGUGCGCAGGCGGCCGCGCAAGUCGAGUGUGAAAGCCCCGAGCUUAACUUGGGAAUUGCGCUCGAAACUACGUGGCUGGAGUGUGGCAGAGGAAGGUGGAAUUCCACGUGUAGCGGUGAAAUGCGUAGAUAUCUGGAGGAACACCGGUGGCGAAGGCGGCAUCCUGGACCGGUAUUGACGCUGAGGAGCGAAAGCCAGGGGAGCAAACGGG
rnacentral:rRNA from 1 species